rnacentral:tRNA from 1 species
GGCAAGAUGGCCGAGCGGUCUAAGGCGCUAGGGUCAGGUUAUCUGAUCAUACAUGUUCCCCGAACAUUCCUAGUCAUUAAUUUGGCGUGGGUUCGAAUCCCACUCUUGUCA